rnacentral:rRNA from 1 species
GAUGAACGCUGGCGGCGUGCCUAAUACAUGCCAGUCGAGCGAACAGACGAGGAGCUUGCUCCUCUGACGUUAGCGGCGGGCGGGUGAGUAACACGUGGAUAACCUACCUAUAAGACUAGGAUAACUUCGGGAAACCUGAGCUAAUACCCGAUAAUAUAUUGAACCGCAUGGUUCAUUAGUGAAAGCCGGUUUUGCUGUCACUUAUAGAUGGAUCCGCGCCGCAUUAGCUAGUUGGUAAGGUAACGGCUUACCAAGGCAACGAUGCGUAGCCGACCUGAGAGGGUGAUCGGCCACACUGGAACUGAGACACGGUCCAGACUCCUACGGGAGGCAGCAGUAGGGAAUCUUCCGCAAUGGGCGAAAGCUUGACGGAGCAACGCCGCGUGAGUGAUGAAGGUCUUCGGAUCGUAAAACUCUGUUAGUAGGGAAGAACAAAUGUGUAAGUAACUAUGCACGUCUUGACGGUACCUAAUCAGAAAGCCACGGCUAACUACGUG